CACUGUUUCUCAUAGCUGAGUAAUAUAAAAUUGCAUAAAUGUACCACUACAUUAAAUCCAAUCUUUGGUUGAAGGAUAUCUAAGUAAUUUUCAGUUUCUGGCUAUUAUGUCUAGAUCUGCUAGGAACGUAGUUGAGCAAGUUUUAUAAGAUGGUGGAAUAUCUUUUGCAUAUAUGCCCAGAUAUAGCUGGGACUUGUUGAUCACGUCCCAAUUUUCUGAGAAACAGACAUUGAUUUUCAAAGUGUCUGUACAAGUUUGUACUUUCGUGGAGGAGUAUUCUUGUUCCACAUCAUCAUGAGCAUGAGCUGUCACUUAUGUUUUGGAUCUUCGCCAUUCUGACAGCUGUAACAUGGAACUCAGAGUCUUCUGGUUUGAAUUGCCCCAUAGCUAAGAAUAUUGAAUAUUUCUUCAAGUUCUUCUUGGCCAUUUGUGAUUCUUCUCUUGAGAAGUCUCUAUCUAUAUAUGUACCCCAUUUUAAUUAAUGCUGUGUAUAUUUUCUUAACUUGAAAGGAGGACAAACACAGAUGCAGGUUUCCAACUCAAAUUACAAACUGAUGAUUUGGUUUAAUAUGGAUGCACAUAUGAAAGAAUCCAUGCAUACACCCAAUCUACAAUGAAAAGGAAAAAGCUGAGUAAAGAAAAACACAAAAUGUACCAUCUAAGGAGAAAAGAAGAAUCAAGAAGAAGAAUUCAGUUAAGUCCUGAGUUCAGAAAGAUAAACAGGUUAAAGAACAGUCUGAUAUCAAAUGAUAUAAAGGAACUGGUGACCUUGGGGAAAGAUCCCACCAGGAGACAGUUGUGCAGCUGACCCUGUGUAGAGGCUUGGAAGGUCAUUGUGUGAAGCUAUGGAGGUGAAGCCUGAAUUGCCUUGGAAUCACCAACAUGGUGGAGACAACACAGCCAUGAGACACCUGCCCAAUAAAGCUGCUAAUGGAAUGAAAACAACUGGAAGAGAGAGAUGAGGAUGCAGGACCCUCAGCUACUUCUCUAGGACCAUG
rnacentral:sRNA from 1 species